UGGGGUAAAAGCCUACCAAGGCAACGAUCAGUAGCCGGCCUGAGAGGGUGAACGGCCACAUUGGGACUGAGACACGGCCCAAACUCCUACGGGAGGCAGCAGUGGGGAAUAUUGCACAAUGGGGGAAACCCUGAUGCAGCGACGCCGCGUGAGUGAAGAAGUAUUUCGGUAUGUAAAGCUCUAUCAGCAGGGAAGAAAUACUGACCAUAGGGUCAGCAGGCGGUACUUGACUAAGAAGCCCCGGCUAACUACGUGCCAGCAGCCGCGGUAAUACGUAGGGGGCAAGCGUUAUCCGGAUUUACUGGGUGUAAAGGGAGCGUAGACGGCAGCGCAAGUCUGAAGUGAAAUGCCAGGGCUUAACCCUGGAACUGCUUUGGAAACUGUGCAGCUAGAGUGCAGGAGAGGUAAGUGGAAUUUCUAGUGUAGCGGUGAAAUGCGUAGAUAUUAGGAGGAACACCAGUGGCGAAGGCGGCUUACUGGACUGUAACUGACGUUGAGGCUCGAAAGCGUGGGGAGCAAACAGGAUUAGAUACCCUGGUAGUCCACGCUGUAAACGAUGAUUACUAGGUGUUGGGGGACCAAGGUUCUUCG
rnacentral:rRNA from 1 species